rnacentral:rRNA from 1 species
UUAACACAUGCAAGUCGAGCGGUAAGGCCUUUCGGGGUACACGAGCGGCGAACGGGUGAGUAACACGUGGGUGAUCUGCCCUGCACUCUGGGAUAAGCCUGGGAAACUGGGUCUAAUACCGGAUAUGACUCCAGCAUGCAUGUGCUGGGGUGGAAAGCUUUUGUGGUGCAGGAUGGGCCCGCGGCCUAUCAGCUUGUUGGUGGGGUAAUGGCCUACCAAGGCGACGACGGGUAGCCGACCUGAGAGGGUGACCGGCCACACUGGGACUGAGACACGGCCCAGACUCCUACGGGAGGCAGCAGUGGGGAAUAUUGCACAAUGGGCGGAAGCCUGAUGCAGCGACGCCGCGUGAGGGAUGAAGGCCUUCGGGUUGUAAACCUCUUUCAGCAGGGACGAAGCGUGAGUGACGGUACCUGCAGAAGAAGCACCGGCUAACUACGUGCCAGCAGCCGCGGUAAUACGUAGGGUGCGAGCGUUGUCCGGAAUUACUGGGCGUAAAGAGUUCGUAGGCGGUUUGUCGCGUCGUUUGUGAAAACCCGGGGCUCAACUUCGGGCUUGCAGGCGAUACGGGCAGACUUGAGUGUUUCAGGGGAGACUGGAAUUCCUGGUGUAGCGGUGAAAUGCGCAGAUAUCAGGAGGAACACCGGUGGCGAAGGCGGGUCUCUGGGAAACAACUGACGCUGAGGAACGAAAGCGUGGGUAGCAAACAGGAUUAGAUACCCUGGUAGUCCACGCCGUAAACGGUGGGC